UACGUAGGGUGCAAGCGUUGUCCGGAAUUAUUGGGCGUAAAGAGCUCGUAGGCGGCUUGUCACGUCGACUGUGAAAACCCGAGGCUCAACCUCGGGCCUGCAGUGGGUACGGGCAGACUAGAGUGCGGUAGGGGAGAUUGGAAUUCCUGGUGUAGCGGUGGAAUGCGCAGAUAUCAGGAGGAACACCGAUGGCGAAGGCAGAUCUCUGGGCCGUAACUGACGCUGAGGAGCGAAAGCGUGGGGAGCGAACAGG
rnacentral:rRNA from 1 species